CAGCACCACAGUCAUCACUUAAAGGGAAAAACGAGCACGUGGUAUUUGAGGUGUUUUUGAAUACUGAUGUUCAAGCAGCAGCAGCAGCAGAUGGUUGCAGUUGAAAAACCGUCUCUCUGCCAGUCCGCUUCACCAGAGGCACAAGCAUUCACAGCACAGGGCUGGCAAGUGACCAAAUGCAGAGGAAAAAGGGACUCACCACUUGGUGUGGCUUUGCGGGAACCGCACCGGUAAGCUGCAGCAGAGACAGUUUCAGGGGUUCCAGAUGGCAGCGCUGAAUCAGAACCCUCAACAUCUGGCCGCCAUCAGCGACCUGAGCCGAGGUCUCGCUGACAGUCGGGACCAGCUGGCCGACUGGACACCGACGCAGACGCACCGAAGCAGGCGAGCGGCAGGCGGAGGCCGCUGCUCUGACCCUCAGCGUGGGAAAGUACUCAGUGUGUGACCUCGACCUCGGGGAAUAGAUUUCUCUUAAUCUUUGCAUUUAGUUGUAGAAAGCAUGAGUGUUAUUUCUGCCAUAAACUAGACCCUUCUGCCUCAUUCUUCAGGUAGAUAUAUUAAUACAUAUUCAAUAUUCAUUUAGUGUAUUUUGGAUUUGGAUUCAUUACCAGAUUAUAAGUAAAGUCAAUGCUAGAGAAAUUACAUUUAAUUUAGAGAAUUAGGAAAUUGCAUACAGGUAAUGUUAUUGAUCAG
ensembl:lncRNA